rnacentral:tRNA from 1 species
CGGGAAGUGGCGCAGCCUGGUAGCGCACUUGCUUCGGGAGCAAGGGGUCGGCGGUUCGAAUCCGCUCUUCCCGACCA